GAGAUGAAAUCUCAGCCACUUAAACUCAAAAAAAUAACUUCUCCUAUGGCAGUUCAAAACAGUUCUUCACAGUUUCUUCAACAGGUGGUUACCACCAUUUUUUUCUACCCAUUAUCUCCACAAUUCAAGCUGGUGGUUUUGCUCAACUCCUCCAAAACUCAAGUCUACAAUCCUCCUGGUAAACCGCCAAUUCAACUGUCCACUCUCCCUUAAUUUUAGGGUUUGAAGAGGUUAUAUAUAGAUUGAUGAGCGCAAGAAGGAAAUCUGAAGUGGAGUUCUCCUUGACGACGGUUCCCUCAGUGCUCCUGUAACUGCCGAUUUGUGCUUCUCACCCACCCAUAAAUCUAUGGGUUCCAUCUCUAAAUCAAAUAGCAAGAGAGUAGAUUCCUCCGACGAUUGACAGAGUGAGCAGGGGUUGAUUUAAUUGAUCUAGGGUUCCACCCACGGGUUCAAGGUAAUUAAGUUUCACCAACCCAUGGCGUCAUGUACAAUCUUAGUCCGGAGGAUUGCGGGCGGAGCUUUGUUCCUCGUGUAAAUAGGCUGGACCGCUGGAGUCGAUGAACAAGAAUAAGAACGGUCAAAAGUCAACAACUGGGAUGUGAAUGGUUUUAGAUUCUCCUUCAGCGUACAACCUUAUCCAGGUCUCAAAUUGAAACCUCGAAGGCAAUGAAGUGGAGCUCCAGUUGGUAAGUCGUUCAUCAUCGAUCAUCUUUUAAAAUUUCUUUAUUGCGUCACAACAACCACCGACCUUCAGAAGGAGAUACUUUAUUAAGCGCUCCAAACUCAUCCUUUUUAGAAAUCCGGUCAAACUCUUUUUUUUUGGUAGUAAACGAGUCAAAAUACCAUUUUUUGGUGAACCAGUCAAAAUUUUAAUUUUAGUAAACAUGUCAAAUUCAUCGUUUUUAGUAAUCGAGUCAAAUUACCAUUUUUAGUGAACAUGUCAAAAUUAUAAUUUUAGUAAACGGGUCAAACAUAUCAUAUUUAGUAAACACGUGGGUCAAAACUGUAAUUUUAGUAAACGGGUCAAACAUAUCAUAUUUAGUAAACACGUGGAUCAAAACUGUAAUUUUAGUAAACGGGUCAAACAUAUCAUAUUUAGUAAAUACGUGGGUCAAAAUUAUAAUUUUAGUAAACGGGUCAAACAUGUCAUAUUUAGUAAACAUGUGGGUCAAAAUUAUAAUUUUAGUAAACGGGUCAAACAGGUUUAGCCACACGAGAACUUUAAUGGGUCUUUUUAACAUUUAUUGAUCAUCAUGCACUGUAUAAUGGGGAGCAUCAAUCAGAAGACAAAAAAGAAAAAGGGGCCAAAACUUUAUACGCUCUAGGAAACCGAAGCAACAAGCACCUAGUGGCAUGGGUAAGAUGGUCAAUUGCUGAUUUACAUCUGCUUUGAGGACAAAUUUGUUUAACCUCUAAAGUUUAUUUUUUAAUGUAUGAACAACAUAUACUUCCUAAAUCAGGAUAAAUUUAGUCGCGGAUUUGUUAUUUUCUAUGCCAAAUUUAUAGGUAAUUAUAAUUAUACUCAAAAUGUCACUUUUUGAAAGGGAUUGUGUUGGGUAUGUUAUUGGUUAUAUAUAACAUGGCUGUCCUACUGAGCCAUUAUCGGCCUAAUGGCAUAUUUGCCGUUACAGACGAGUAAGUCCCAUAGCUCUAUCAGAUACGUAGAAUUAUCUUUUUUUUUCUUUUUUUGCAUAUUUGUUUUUAUUGUUGUUUUCUUUUUCUGAUAUUCUAUAAUGUGCUUUUGAUAAACAGUAAAAGGGUACAACAGAAAUUGGCUUUGUAUCAAGGAGUAUGCCCCAUUUACAUGGAAUUCGCAGACGAUGCUGAAGAAACCUUUUCAAAUGCUCUUCAAGUGUUAAAGGUGAGAUUUACUCCGCUAAUUCAAUGUUUUCUCGUCUUUCCUUUUGGAAGUGUUUGGAUGUGCACUUUUGAAAAAGUAAAUAUUCCGCUUAUGAUUAUCAAGGGCCCAAAUUUUUCAUUAUGAUACCCAGCCACACCAAAAUUGAAAAUCGAAGGAGAAAGUAAAAUGACUUAUUUAUCAACUUACCCUUUUAAACCAUUGUUUUUAUUUAUUUAUCAACUUACCUCAUUGCAUAAUAAAAAAAAAAUGUCAAACAAUCAAAAAAAUAAGUAACUGUUAUGACUUCAGUUAUUUGAUUGUUAUCCAACAUCACAUACACUUUGGAAACACACAUUUAAACUCCCCAUGAAUUAUUAUGCUGUUUGAUCAUUUCAUGAGGGAAUAAAAAUAUUAUUGGGUGUAAGCUGAAUAACAUUGAUAUCUGUUCGCAUAUAGUAUUCUUGAUAAGAUAUCUUUUGGAAUAACAUAUGUCGGGUGGUGGCAAAGGCACUUCAUCUGCUUUGGCUUUAUCAAAUGCCAUUCAAAUCCUGCUGGUACUCUUUAUUUGUGAUUAAAAAGUUGUUUACUUAAAUGGUUUUUGUUCAUUUUUCAUGUUUUUUGGUUAAACUUCUUAAUCUUUAUCUAAAAAGAUGUUUAACUUAAUGAUUUUUGUUGUUAUGUUUUCAAUGUUUUUUAGUUAAAUUUGUAGCUUCUGCGAUUGGAGAGCAGCAUAAACGCGCUCCAAUGUUGGAAGAUAGGAACACAGGAUAGGUAAUCGUGGUGGGAUUGGAAUUGUACAAGAUAAAACUAUAGAAGGUUGGAAUCAUGGUGGGAUUUAGAACAGGAACAUUUAAAAUAUACAUGUAUAAGAGGGAGAAUCAUGGAAAUUUUACUUGCUUUACCGGUUUUUCAUUUAUCAGUGGAUGUGUGUAGCACCUUAGUGUAGCUCCUGGCAGCAGAAGUAAACUGAUAUUUAUUAUAAUGUA